GCCGGGCUUAGGUGCGAUAAGCCUGUUACCCCGCACCUGGACCACCCCUGAGAAAUUGUUGGUUAACAUACUGGCGGAAGCAGGGAAAAAGGAGAACCCGAUUUAUGCAGACACGUUCAAAGCUGACCAACUAGUUCCAUCUCUGGUUCUUGUUCUGAUAAGGGAUGUCACCGAUUCGACAAGAGAUGUUCACCGUUUUGGAUUCAAGUGUCCUGCGACUGUCCUCUAUGCUGGCUGACCUGGGCAGUGAAUAAACAUAUAAACUGCAUGUUUGUUGAAACAAUCGUCUAGGAAUCGUUAUUUCUAAAGGAUAUCAUCAUAGUCUACUCGGAGUAUCGAUCGACCUACAGGGCGCUUCAGGAGAACCCUAGGCGAGAACGUCCGCCUACUGAAGCCUGAAAGAGAGAUCGUCGGUCUGGCAGGACUGGGAGUCUGGGAGGCAAGAUCGGUUGUCGAACUGACUCAUUGUGAACGAUGCUCUGCCAGGUAGGAGUCGAUGGUCCAACAAUGCUUCGGCUCUUGCUUCCGGACUCUGUUACCUUUCGUCUACCUUGCGCUAUAAAGAUGUUAGGAACAAAGGCACACCUACGCGUGAGAUAUCGAGUCGACAGGCUCGUUUCACUGUCGGGCGACGUGAAACCCUAGACUCCACGGACAGGACACUGUCAAUCGGUGAUGUGUGCCGCGUAAAGUCCGGUGUGGAUGAGACACUGUGUUUCCGAUUGCGAAACAGCGGGUUCGGCGCGUCGGAUCGAAGCGGUAGCGGAGGACGAGCUGCGACGAUUCUUCUCCCGACGAGUUCGAUACGCUAGGAAACAGAUGUAGCCGGCUAUCUCCGAAUCGGCAACCGUUUGCCAAGGAGCAAUCAGUCAGCGCUACCGUCCACCGAGGAAGCCUGCCGAACGAGGGAACGACCACACACGUCCGCAGGAACGGAUCCGGACGAUGAUCAGGAGCUCACGAUCGCGUUCUGCCGUCCCGGCAACGAGAGCCCGUGAUCGCUCAAUCAUGCGUGUUAGGUGCCGACGAUAAUUCGUGCUCCGAUGGAUGCAAUCGAGCGCGAGGUCGCGAACGUGGCUCGAACAGGUUGCGCAAGACUACCGUUGUCGUGGUACACGCUCGAUUGAGGACCCGAUAAGUGGUACCGGGAGCCCGUAAUCCGAACAUUUUGUUUGGUACCCGGCCCGGCCGCUCGACGAACUAUAAUCACCGCCGGAUAACCCGCAAUAGUAAUCGGUCAGCAUCCUCGCGAUACCCUGUGUCCCUGCUACCUCAUUACCGUCUACCCUGCGUUCACGAUUGCGCCAGAGGAGCUUCAUGACUUUAUGGGCCCCGCAUCGUGCUCCGCAAUCGCAAUUUUCAACUAUGCUAUUCAACAUUGCCUCGGCCAAAGCUACGCGGAUUCCUCUGAUUAACCCUCUGCGCCGUCAUUCCCCUCGCAACUGCGUCGGAUUAGCAUUGUUCUGCCUUGAUAACUUCUACGAUUAGACAAUUUUUGUUUCUCAUUUCGAUUCGGAGCGCGGUUCUUAUGCGUUUAUGCUAAACGCGAGCGGCUGAAAUAUAAAAUUGCGAAGCGACGCAAGGAGAAUUUAGUUAUAUUAUUAUAUGCUAUUCUCAACGUUCUAUUCUUCGCGAGUUCUAUUUUGCACGAAGAUCCUGAGAGAAGAUGAAAUGUUACCUUGACUUUGCAGGACGAAGUCUAUCAUAAUCACACUACACAGGAUACGAGGAUGUUAAGAUUGUGAUAAAUCCAGCGUAACAGAGUGGUAACCGACUCGAUAAACGUUACAAUAAUUGAGCACAUGCUUCCGACGACUUUAUUUUACAAAAUGUUUUACAAGCCAAGAAGUGGAUCAGCAAAACGAUAUCAGUGAUAGCAGUGACAAAGAUGUACCACCUUGUUUCGAAGCAUUUCAAACGUUGGAGUCUAGAAAACGCGGUCUAGAAGGAAUAUAACACUGCAGAACAAAAAUAUAAUACUGCCAAAAAAGUUAGGGAUCCGUAAGUUUAAUUUCGUUAAAAGAAGGAUGGAAAAUGAAAAAUAUGGUUACUUUUCGAUUGCCUAUAAUUUGUAUUCAUUUUAUAUUCAUUUGGUCUUGAUUAUUCAUUCAAACUGAGUUCUAAACGUUUAUUGUUCCAUUAUAUUAUUAUACUAUGAAAAAUUCUCUCGUACGAA